UACCUUCUGUCGUAGGGCCGAAAGCCCGACCUGAAGCCCGACCGGGUCGUUUUUCCCCCUCCCUGUGGCCCAGAGGAAGCCCCCGUUGGGAUUUCAGAGGAACCCAAAACCCUAGCUUGAGAUCGCUCCCAGGAGUUCAAAUCCCAGAGAUAGAAUCCACAUCGCUCCGAAACCCUCUCAAAAGAUCUAGUUUUUCGGUGGUAAUUUUGGUGGGAGAUCUCAUGGCCAGCACCGGGUGGAGGAGAAAUCUGGGGAACGUGCGGUCCUUCGUAGGGAACGCCAUGGGGGGGCUGCGAGGGGGAAGCAACCUGGCCUCGUGGGCGGUAGCGGGGACACUCGCCUACUUCCUCUGGAUCAAACCCGCAAGCGAGCCCAAGAAGGAGCUGUAGUGCAACAGGAAACUGGCUUGAUAUAUGGGAAGAGAAAGGCGGCCCAGAAUUCAGAUAUCUGAUACGUCUAAAAUUGCUGAUAUGUUGGUGGAGUUUCUGCUUUUCUUGACAUUGCUGCUAUUUAUGUAUGUAUUUGGUCCCAGAUGCAUACUCCACGUAUGCUUAAUCGCUUUGUUUACCUCUAACUAGUGACAUCAACAAGAUUUGUUGCUUAGACUCAAGUAUUUUGACUAUCUUAUGUUGUGAAAAUGGGAGGCCUCAAUGCAGCACAGAUAUUCUACUCAAACAUAAAAUGUAGCCCAGAUAUCUUAUAGAUAAAUUCAAGACAUGGUGCUUGUAUCUUCUCAGCA